rnacentral:tRNA from 1 species
UGCCCCGUGGGGUAAUUGGCAGCCCGCAGGUUUUUGGUACCUGAAGUUCUGGUUCGAGUCCAGGCGGGGCAG